UGGCUUUGAGAAAGCAAUUGUAGGCCUGUUACGACCUUCAAUAAUGAGAAAAUCCAUACCCUAUACUAUAGUCAAAGUAGGCAGCUAUAAAAGACCUAAAGAUGAAACAUUGAAACAAUCCAAACUGUAAAACUAAUCAUGCUAAUUGCCUAGUUUAUAACAAAAUAAAUUACAAAAAAUAAAUAUGACCGGUAUGAAACAACAACAACAACAACCACUAAAUUUUAGUGUCAGACUAAACUGACAAAAGCUACAGGCUCUGAACUUUGGACAGGCACAAUAGGAAUAUGGCAAGGUUAUAUAAAAAUAAGAUGUGGUAUGAUUGCCAAUAAGACAACUCUCCACCAG
rnacentral:lncRNA from 1 species